rnacentral:rRNA from 1 species
CCUACGGGAGGCAGCAGUGAGGAAUAUUGGUCAAUGGCCGGAAGUCUGAACCAGCCAAGCCGCGUGAAGGACGAAGGUGCCAAGCAUUGUAAACUUCUUUUGUGCGGGAGUAAUAAUUGUCACGUGUGGCAAGACGAGAGUACCGUACGAAUAAGCAUCGGCUAACUCCGUGCCAGCAGCCGCGGUAAUACGGGGGAUUCAAGCGUUAUCCGGAUUUAUUGGGUUUAAAGGGUGCGUAGGGUGGAAGGUAAGUCAGUGGUGAAAAGCACCCGCUCAACGGGGAGAAGUGCCAUUGAUACUGGCAGUCUGGAAUGCGGUAGCCGUGGGAGGAAUGUGUGGUGUAGCGGUGAAAUGCAUAGAUAUCACACAGAACACCGAUUGCGAAGGCAGUUCACGAAUCCGCGAUUGACGCUGAUGCACGAAAGUGUGGGUAUCAAACAGGAUUAGAUACCCCAGUAGUC